rnacentral:rRNA from 1 species
UACGGGGGGGGCAAGCGUUGUUCGGAAUUACUGGGCGUAAAGGGCUCGUAGGCGGCCAACUAAGUCGGAUGUGAAAUCCCCAGGCUUAACCUGGGAACUGCAUCCGAUACUGGAUGGCUUGAAUCCGGGAGAGGGAUGCAGAAUUCCAGGUGUAGCGGUGAAAUGCGUAGAUAUCUGGAGGAAUACCGGUGGCGAAGGCGGCAUCCUGGACCGGCAUUGACGCUGAGGGGCGAAAGCUAGGGGAGCAAACGGG